rnacentral:tRNA from 1 species
GGAGAUGUGGCAGAGCGGUCUAUUGCGGAGGAUUUGAAAUCCUCUGUGUCGAAAGGCACCGUGAGUUCGAAUCUCACCAUCUCCGCCA